GUCGAGCGGAACGAGUUAUCUGAACCUUCGGGGAACGAUAACGGCGUCGAGCUGCGGACGGGUGAGUAAUGCCUAGGAAAUUGCCCUGAUGUGGGGGAUAACCAUUGGAAACGAUGGCUAAUACCGCAUAAUGCCUACGGGCCAAAGAGGGGGACCUUCGGGCCUCUCGCGUCAGGAUAUGCCUAGGUGGGAUUAGCUAGUUGGUGGGGUAAGGGCUCACCAAGGCGACGAUCCCUAGCUGGUCUGAGAGGAUGAUCAGCCACACUGGAACUGAGACACGGUCCAGACUCCUACGGGAGGCAGCAGUGGGGAAUAUUGCACAAUGGGCGCAAGCCUGAUGCAGCCAUGCCGCGUGUGUGAAGAAGGCCUUCGGGUUGUAAAGCACUUUCAGUCGUGAGGAAGGUAGUGUAGUUAAUAGCUGCAUUAUUUGACGUUAGCGACAGAAGAAGCACCGGCUAACUCCGUGCCAGCAGCCGCGGUAAUACGGAGGGUGCGAGCGUUAAUCGGAAUUACUGGGCGUAAAGCGCAUGCAGGUGGUUUGUUAAGUCAGAUGUGAAAGCCCGGGGCUCAACCUCGGAAUUGCAUUUGAAACGGGCAGACUAGAGUACUGUAGAGGGGGGUAGAAUUUCAGGUGUAGCGGUGAAAUGCGUAGAGAUCUGAAGGAAUACCGGUGGCGAAGGCGGCCCCCUGGACAGAUACUGACACUCAGAUGCGAAAGCGUGGGGAGCAAACAGGAUUAGAUACCCUGGUAGUCCACGCCGUAAACGAUGUCUACUUGGAGGUUGUGGCCUUGAGCCGUGGCUUUCGGAGCUAACGCGUUAAGUAGACCGCCUGGGGAGUACGGUCACAAGAUUAAAACUCAAAUGAAUUGACGGGGGCCCGCACAAGCGGUGGAGCAUGUGGUUUAAUUCGAUGCAACGCGAAGAACCUUACCUACUCUUGACAUCCAGAGAACUUUCCAGAGAAUGGAUUGGUGCCUUCGGGAA
rnacentral:rRNA from 1 species